rnacentral:tRNA from 1 species
GUUGAAAUAAUUUAAAAUAAAAUAUUGAUUUUGUAAAUCAAAUUUGACUAAGUCUUUCAAUU